rnacentral:lncRNA from 1 species
CUAUGAUUCGCAUGUAUGGUAUGUAGUCUCAAUCUUCAGCUCAUAAAUGCUUUUCACAAGAUAUCAUGUUUCAAGUAUUUUUGCAUGCUUUUUGAAGAUAACUCAUCCCCUUAUUAAAUUGAAUGCAAUGAUGGGAAAUAUUUUUGGCAAUGGAAAGUGGAGUACUUGUUCUAACUUGUGCUAUAACCAGGUUGGAGAGUGAUUAUGCAUUGAUGUGCCAACCAUAUUUAUUGUUUAGUCACUCAAAUUGAACAAGAAAUUGGUGGUAUUCUAAAGUAUUAUGAAAUAGGAGCCAAGCCUUGACAUUGUACCACGUAGCAACUCUAUUGUCUUUGUGUAUUGAUUUUGGCACUAAGUGCCUCUGGUGACCUAUUUGCUUCAUUUUUUUGACUUGUUAUUAUUUUUAAAUGUGUAGGAAGACUGCUUUUACGACCUGCCUUACGAUA